rnacentral:rRNA from 1 species
GUGUCAGCAGCCGCGGUAAUACGGAGGGAGCUAGCGUUAUUCGGAAUUACUGGGCGUAAAGCGCACGUAGGCGGCUUUGUAAGUAAGAGGUGAAAGCCCAGAGCUCAACUCUGGAAUUGCCUUUUAGACUGCAUCGCUUGAAUCAUGGAGAGGUCAGUGGAAUUCCGAGUGUAGAGGUGAAAUUCGUAGAUAUUCGGAAGAACACCAGUGGCGAAGGCGGCUGACUGGACAUGUAUUGACGCUGAGGUGCGAAAGCGUGGGGAGCAAACAGGAUUAGAAACCCCCGUAGUCC